UUACAUCCAUACAGGGGUUAUGCCUCAUGGCCGUCGCCACCUGUGUGCUCUGAUGGUCCGGAAAGGGCCAAGAGGGCUCGCCACCAGCCAGAGGAAACUUCUAGACCUCAGACUGGAUCCAGCACGUCAACUUUAUGGACAUCGUCUUAGAGCUGGUGCUGCUGGGAAUUCUGGGAAGAGCGAGGGUGCAUCAGAUCAUUUCAGUAAGAGAGUCUGUGCUCUAUAGAGUCUAGAAUGAAUCUGUGCUGCACUACAAGUGUAGUCAAACACCGGAGACGAAGGCUCUUUUUGGACCAGCUGAUUGCUCUCAUCUAUUCGUGCGUUACGCCCAGAUGGACUGAACGGCAGUACACAGAGCGUUAUUUAUUCCAUCUUCAGACUGAGAUGCUGAACUUCCUGGAUGAAAUCUUCACUCUGGACGAGUCUUUGUACGCAGAACCUGAAGCCCUGGCUGCUGCACUGGAGACGCUUUUAUGGCGGAGCCUCUGACGGUUUCAUGAAAGGCUGAAAACAGAAGACAUCUAAAGGCCAACCUUGAUUAGAACCUUUAUUUAACUGUCAGGGAUGCAUGUCUGGUGGUUGACGUGUUGUUAAUGUGUGUUCACAGUUUCUGUACCUGUGGAGGUGUGUCAGGACCCAAGACAUGGGCGACAUGUGAAGAUACCACCAAUUUAUUGAGAUUUCAGAGAGACGUGCUGCCAUUAAGUUGACGUCUUUACAUCAGGACAACGCCCGGAUGACUUCGUGGACCAGAUCCAGAUGUGUAAAAGCUGAUGUUCUGUGAAAAUGUAAUAAAAAGAAGAAACUGUGA